AUACGGAGGAUGCGAGCGUUAUCCGGAUUUAUUGGGCUUAAAGGGUGCGCAGGCGGCCAUUUAAGUCAGCGGUUAAAUCGUGGGGCUCAACCCCAUUCUGCCGUUGAUACUGGGUGGCUUGAUUGCGGUCGAGGUUGGCGGAAUUCGUUGUGUAGCGGUGAAAUGUAUAGAUAUGACGAAGAACACCGAUUGCGUAGGCAGCUGACCAGACCGCAAAUGACGCUCAUGCACGAAAGUGCGGGGAUCGAACAGGAUUAGAUACCCUGGUAGUCCGCACAGUAAACGAUGAAUACUUGUUUUCGGCGAUAUAAUGUCGGAGGCAAAGCGAAAGCGAUAAGUAUUCCACCUGGGGAGUACGCCGGCAACGGUGAAACUCAAAGGAAUUGACGGGG
rnacentral:rRNA from 1 species